rnacentral:rRNA from 1 species
GUCCCAGCGUGUACGCUCUUGGUACGCCGCAACUUAUAAUAAGUUAUAGCAACGUCCCGGGAAUGCGAGGUACAUUAUAAAUAUGGUAAAUACCUAUCUUCCCUUUUAUAAUUUAUAAUAAAAAUAUUUAUUAUAAAAUAUUUUUACUUUCAUUACGCCUUUAGGUUUUGAUAAUCCCAAUGACUUGCGCACAUGCUAGACUCCUUGGUCCGUGUUUCAAGACGGGUCCUAUGAUUACCCAAAACAUAAAUGCCGUUGACUGAUGAUGUGAUACUCUUUUUUUUUACAAAAAAAAUACCAACAUAUUGUGAGACUGUUUGAGAACACUAUAACUAUCCAAUUGUAUAUGGGAUGAAACCUGCCUAUAAAUAGGAUCAAAUUUCACCAUACAUUUAAACCAUAUACUAGAUAAUUUGUUAUAGGUCAAAAAACGCUUACACAAUUUUUACCAAUAGCGUCCCAUCAUCAAAAAUUUUAUUAAAUACCAUCGAGCAGAUGUCAGAACAUUUAAGUAAUGUCCGGGUCAUAUAAAAUAUAAUAAUUUCAUAUGCCACGGUCUCCAUUACAAAAGUCUUAAACAACAUUUACCAAUACAGGCUCAAUGGGUCACGACAAACUACAAGAGGAGAAGUGCAUGCCUCCGAUUAUAAAAUUAAACAUUAAACAGUGGAGCAUCAUAAAACACUAUAAGAGUUUUACAAGAAAACCAAAUAGGAAUAUAAUGUCUCUCUCUAUACCAAAAAAUAUACCAAAACUGUUAAAUGAUUAUAAACGGUAAGACAAUUGAAUCUCCUCGUUCGUACUUUCGGGAACCAUAGGUUUACCCCUGAACAGUUUCACGUACUCUUGAACUCUCUCUUCAAAGUUCUUUUCAACUUUCCCUCACGGUACUUGUUCGCUAUCGGUUUCGCAGUUAUAUUUAGCCUUAGAUGGAGUUUACCACCCACUUAGAGCUGCACUCUCAAGCAACCCGACUCUAAAGAGAAACCCACCCAAAUAUAUAAAUGGUUACUACGGGCCUGGCACCCUCUAUGGGCGAAUGGCCCCCUUCAAGAAGGACUUGAACACAUUUAUAUUUAUAUUUAGGUUAUAAAUGGGCUCUCCCAAACACUACAUUGCCCGCUAAUUGUUUCCAAUCAGAGGCUUCAGUGCUGGGCUUUUCCCUCUUCGCUCGCCGCUACUAAGGGAAUCCU